GACGAACGCUGGCGGCGUGCUUAACACAUGCAAGUCGAACGGAAAGGCCCUGCUUUUGUGGGGUGCUCGAGUGGCGAACGGGUGAGUAACACGUGAGUAACAUGCCCUUGACUUUGGGAUAACUUCAGGAAACUGGGGCUAAUACCGGAGAGGAGCUCCUGCUGCAUGGGGGGGGUUGGAAAGUUUCGGCGGUUGGGGAUGGACUCGCGGCUUAUCAGCUUGUUGGUGGGGUAGUGGCUUACCAAGGCUUUGACGGGUAGCCGGCCUGAGAGGGUGACCGGCCACAUUGGGACUGAGAUACGGCCGCGACUCCUACGGGAGGGAGCAGUGCGGAAUAUUGCACAAUGGGCGGCAGCCUGAUGCAGCAACGCCGCGUGCGGGAUGACGGCCUUCGGGUUGUAAACCGAUUUCGCCUGUGACGAAGCGUGAGUGACGGUAAUGGGUACAGAAGCACCGGCUAACUACGUG
rnacentral:rRNA from 1 species